GAUGAGAACGUAGCGAAAUGCGAUAAGUAAUGUGAAUUGCAGAAUUCAGUGAAUCAUCGAAUCUUUGAACGCACAUUGCGCCCGCCAGUAUUCUGGCGGGCAUGCCUGUUCGAGCGUCAUUUCAACCCUCAAGCCCCCGGGCUUGGUGUUGGGGAUCGGCGUGCCCUCGCGGCGCGCCGUCCCCUAAAUCUAGUGGCGGUCUCGCUGUAGCUUCCUCUGCGUAGUAGCAACACUCGCACUGGAUCGCAGCGCGGCCACGCCGUUAAACCCCCCACUUCUGAAAGUUUGACCUCGGAUCAGGUAGGAAUACCCGCUGAACUUAAGCAUAUCAAUAAGCGGAGGA
rnacentral:misc_RNA from 1 species